GAGUUUGAUCCUGGCUCAGGACGAACGCUGGCGGCGUGCUUAACACAUGCAAGUCGAACGGAAAGGCCUCUUCGGAGGUACUCGAGUGGCGAACGGGUGAGUAACACGUGGGCAAUCUGCCCUGCACUUCGGGAUAAGCCUGGGAAACUGGGUCUAAUACCGGAUAGGACCUCAAGACGCAUGUCUUCUGGUGGAAAGCUUUUGCGGUGUGGGAUGGGCCCGCGGCCUAUCAGCUUGUUGGUGGGGUGACGGCCUACCAAGGCGACGACGGGUAGCCGGCCUGAGAGGGUGUCCGGCCACACUGGGACUGAGAUACGGCCCAGACUCCUACGGGAGGCAGCAGAAGGG
rnacentral:rRNA from 1 species